rnacentral:sRNA from 1 species
GGAUAAAAAAAGGCUCGGGACCAAUCCAAGUUGUCCCGAGCUCAGGGGAAUGGCUCAAGGGAUUGAGCCGUGCGCUAACUCGAUAAAUGUCGAGGGUAAAAAUUAGUGUAGACGCAAUUUUUAGAAAUGCGAAUUU